UACGUAGGGUGCAAGCGUUGUUCGGAAUUACUGGGCGUAAAGGGCGCGCAGGCGGUCCUUCAAGUCAGAUGUGAAAGCCCCGGGCUCAACCUGGGAACUGCAUUUGAGACUGGAGGACUUGAGGACGGGAGAGGAGAGUGGAAUUCCCAGUGUAGAGGUGAAAUUCGUAGAUAUUGGGAAGAACACCGAUGGCGAAGGCAGCUCUCUGGACCGUUAUUGACGCUGAGGCGCGAAAGCGUGGGGAGCAAACAGG
rnacentral:rRNA from 1 species